UACGAAGGGGGCUAGCGUUGCUCGGAAUCACUGGGCGUAAAGCGCACGUAGGCGGAUUGUUAAGUCAGGGGUGAAAUCCUGGAGCUCAACUCCAGAACUGCCUUUGAUACUGGCGAUCUUGAGUCCGGGAGAGGUGAGUGGAACUGGCGAGUGUAGAGGUGAAAUUCGUAGAUAUUCGCAAGAACACCAGUGGCGAAAGCGGCUCACUGGCCCGGUACUGACGCUGAGGUGCGAAAGCGUGGGGAGCAAACAGG
rnacentral:rRNA from 1 species